ACACGGGGGGCGCAAGCGUUAUUCGGAAUUAUUGGGCGUAAAGGGCGUGUAGGCGGUUUUAUCGGUCAGAUGUGAAAGCCCAGGGCUCAACCCUGGACGUGCGUUUGAUACAGUAAGACUUGAGUACGGUAGAGGAAAGCGGAAUUCCUGGUGUAGAGGUGAAAUUCGUAGAUAUCAGGAGGAACACCGAUGGCGAAGGCAGCUUUCUGGACCGAAACUGACGCUGAUGCGCGCAGGCGUGGGUAGCGAACAGGAUUAGAAACCCCUGUAGUCC
rnacentral:rRNA from 1 species